UUUGUGUAUAUCAGCAGCUGGCUGCAAACCCGCUCCCCUCGGAAAGAUGGCGACGAUGAUAUGGGGGGCCACCCGGGCUAUAGGGAGGCUUCUGAGGUAAACCACUGCUGUAGGUCGGCACCCAAACACUUGACUAGUUACGGGGGGAAGUACCGAGUCUACAGGCAGGUGUGUGUUGUCGCGUGCGGUGCGGAUGUGAUAGCAGGUCGAGAACCGCCAAUUCGAGCUAGCUGUCAGCUAGCUCUGUGAGCUAACAGCGGGCUAGCUGCUUCCGAGGCAGGCUCAGUUUUGUCCUUGGAGAUGCCUACCUAUCCUCAAGAUUAGAGAGCUUCUGGGAGAAGGCUGCAGGAUUUUCUGAAGACCGGUCAUCUGUCCUGCUUCCACGACUGCAGAGCCAUGUUUAUUAUGCUCAUAUAAAGUUAAUAUAUGACCGGGGUGGGCUGAGGAAGAAAAUGGGAGCUGUGGGAUGAGGUAGUAGUUUGUAUAGUUUUAGGAUCACACCAGAUCUGGGAGAUAACUAUACAGCCUACUGUCUUUCUCACGGCAACCGAAACCAUCACCUCCAUCGUCUUACCUCUUCAGGUUUUUGGUCAUAACUUUGUUCCAGUGUUGUUGCUUUCCACUGGUCUUGUUUUAAAUAUUUUAUCAUUUUUCUAUUAUUUUUUAGAUUAUAGAUGAAAGUGCUUUGGUUAUCCGUGGAAAUCUGAUCAGAUUUUCCAAAGCGCCUGCAGCAUACGUGGUUUCAUUGUCUUAUGUUAUCAAAGACCAGGAAUUUAUUUUGAAUUCCCAUAUAGUGCAGGAUUAUAUUAAUCAAUUUUAUGGUUUUGUACAAAUCUAUACAGAUGCAAAAUACAGGCGAUCAAGUGGGUGUGGCAUUCAAUCUUCCAGAAUUGAAGAUAAAAGUUGGAAAAAUGCUCAAUAAUGGACUUUCAGUGUACACAGGGGAAAUGUUGGCAUUGUUGUUAGCUGUUCAGUGGGUGGAGGAAAACAAGCCAUUAUGGACAAUAAUCUGUUCAGACUCUAGUUCAUCAUUGGCCAGCUUGGAUAAGUCAUUCAGAUGCCAGACCAGACAUUUUAAUUGAGAUUUUACAGACAAUCCACAGAAUAAAAAUGAUGGGACUGAUAGUUAAAUUCGUACGGAUACCAGCACAUUAUGGUGUUAUUGGCAAUGAGGUGGCAGAUAAAAUUGCAAAGCAGGCUGCUAACGGAGAUCAAGUUGAUUUAAAUGUCAGUAUUAGGAAAGCUGAAAUGAAGAGCAUGGUAAAACGGAAAACAAGGGAAAGAUGACAAAAGCGGUGGGAGGAGAGGACAGGGAGAUGGUUUUAUUCUAGUCAAAGGAAAAUGGGGGAAUCAGGAGAGAAGAGACAAUAUCUCGAUUCAGAUUUGGACACACUGGGUUUAACAGUUCACUGUUCAUUAUAGGGAAAAAUCAAAUGGGGAAAUGUAGUAGUGAAACUGUUGAACAUGUUUUGUUCCAUUGUCAAAAUUAUCAGGAAGAGAAAAGAAAACUAAUUCAAAACCUGGAAUGCUUUUCUUUGAUUGGAGGGACCACACUGGAGGUGCAAGUCUAUUGCAUGCUGGUCUAUGCCAUUACAAAUGAGCUGUCCUCUGGACUUAACUGAGCUGGGAGGAAAAAAUACGGACCAGACUAAGCAAAAGAGGGCAUUUAAAGAGUGAAGGUCUCACAAUGGUUUCACCUGAAACCUCUGCCGAUAAUGACCCAUACCCUUUUUCACACCUUGAAAAGGGUAUGAAAAAGUCACCUUUCAUGUGAUGAGACACAUGGUCUAUAAUGUGUCAAAGAAACUCUUAAAGAGACUACUCCCGCUAUGGUUUAAGUACUUGGGACUGUCAACCAUUUGGUCUUAGAACUAAAGAAGCUUCUUGGAUGAAAGGUGAGACGUUUUCAAGAAAAUUAAAGAAGUUCAGUCGCUUUAUUUUCCAAGCCCCGUAGAUUUCUCUGAAAAUGGUCAGGUACAAGGUCUGGACUGAAAAUGUUGAAUAGUUAGUAUAAUAUUAUCUAAUAGCUAAUAUAAUAUUAGCUCAUAAUUGGAUGCAGCAACUCACGGCUCUGAUUUUUAGUAAACUACAAAGUUGGUCUGUAACUCCUACACUUGGUGCUGUUACUUGGUAGCUGAGUAUUUCUUUCUGUGCCCCUAAUUAGUCUCACAGUGUUUCUAGGUGCUUCUCUGUUGUUUCUUUGCAAGCCUUACAGCUUUUAGUGUCCUGCAACAUCUGAGUCACGGUCCUGGGGGCUCCAGCCCCAUCCCAGAGUAAACUGAAAACACUGUGUAAAUAAUAGAAAAAAAAUGUUUUCAUAAAAUAGACUGUUUUCUUAAUUGAUGCAGAGAUGUCUGUCUUUUUUAUUAGAUCAGGUCUGGCACUUAGUGUUAUAGAUUCUAUAAUGGACAUGUUAAAUUGUAUCCUUUUUUUUUUUGAUAACAAACCUGUGAAAAACAAUUGUGUUAGUAUUGAUAAUUUGCAGUGGUUUAGUAUUGAUUGAAAUAUCUGUGAAGUCCAGUUGAUUUUUAAUCAUGAUUUUAUUAUUGUUUCAACAUUAACCACUGGUGCAAAGGUGGUGGAAAAUCAACAUCAGAAUUCAACAUUGAUUCAAUAUCAAACUAUAAUAUUGUUCCAAUAUUAAGAUGGGUUUGGCUGUUGAAAUGUGGUGCUUUACUGAUCUUCCCAGAUCACCCCUGACUUUGUGAUAGAGUAAUAAUAAUAAUAAUAAUGGCAUUUUUGACCAUUGGUAUACCACAACUUAAUCCUUUCAACAGCUACCGAAAGCUAAGGGACCUAGCUUGUGUGAGCCUUUUGGGAUAUAUAUACACUGCUCAAAAAAUAAAGGGCACACUUAAACAACACAGUGUAACUCCAAGUCAGUCACACUUCUGUGAAAUCAAACUGUCCACUACUUGACAAUCAAUUUCACAUGCUGCUAUGCAAAUGGAAUAGACAACGGGUGGAAAUUAUAGGCAAUUAGAAAGACAUCCCCAAUAAAUGAGUGGUUCUGCAGUGGUUCUUCUUGGUACCUAUGCUUUCUGGCUGAUGUUUUGGUCACUUUUGAAUGCUAGCGGUGUUUUCACUCUAGUGACACACAACUGGCUCAGGUAGUGCAACUCAUCCAGGAUGGCACAUCACUGUGAUCUGUGGUAAGGUUUGCUCUGUCUGUCAGCGUAGUGUCCAGAGCAUGGAGGCGCUACCAGGGGACGUGGAGGAGGCCGUAGGAGGGCAACAACCCAGCAACAGGACCAAUACCUCCACCUUUGUGCAAGGAGAAACAGGAGGAGCAUUGCCAGAGCCCUGCUAAAUGACCUCCAGCAGGCCAGAAAUGUGCAUGUGUCUGCUCAAACAGUCAGAAACAGACUCCGUGAGGGUGGCAUGAGGGCCCAACGUCCACAGGUGGGGGUUGUGCUUACAGCCCAACACCAUGCAGGACGUUUGGCAUUUGCCAGAGGUCACCAGGCUGAUCCACUCCUGAGGGAUUUGGUGUUUUGCCAUCUCCAAGGGAGAGGAGCAAGGUUCCCAAGCCAGUUAUGAUUCUGCUACGUCAGUGGGACCGUUUGGUAGAGAAGAGUGGCAUACUCUAUCGCCAGACUUCACGUCCUGAUGGGGGUGAGGAAGUGCUCCAACUUGUCCUUCCAGAGGCUCUGAAGUCUCUGGGAUAUCAGCUGAGACAGCUGCACCAGGACCAUGAGCGUACCACCGAAUUGGUCAGACAGCACUGUUACUGGCCAGGGAUGUCCUCUGACUUCAAACAGUGGGUCCAGGGUUGUGAGCGUUGUCAAACUGCAAAAGAUUCAGGGUUGGUAUUGCAUAGCUAUAUGGGCCACCCUUUUGGCAUCUAGGACAAAUAAAAUCCUGGCCAUAGAUUUCACUUUGUUGGAACCCUCCCUUGGUGGGCUUAAGAAUGUCCUGAUUAUGACUGAUGUUUUUAGCAAAUACACUGUUGCAGUCGCUACCUGGGAUCAGCGGGCUUCUACUAUAGCCCAGGUCCUUGUGACAGAGCGGUUCUUUAAGUUUGGUGUUCCUAGCUGCAUCCACUUUGACUAAGGCAGGAACAGCAAAGUCUGUACAACUCCAUACCAUCUAGCACGUAAUGGACAGUGUGAACGAUUUAAUAGAACCCUUCACAACCUCUUGCAUACCCUUCCACCA